rnacentral:lncRNA from 1 species
AACGACUCUUUCACAAGCUUUCUUUAUGUUAGAUAACACAGAUGUGUCUACACCACAAAACAGAGUUUGACGGAGAAAGCAGUGCUGAGCAAGAACUGACUUUAUGUAAAGUUGCUCUCAGGAGAAGUCAUGUGAAUAUGAACACAUUUGAACACAACACUCUGUCAUCAACAGCCUUGUGACAACUUGUGCAAGCAUUUCAGAGCUGGAGGAGCAUUGUGCUGUAUUGAUAACUCCCUUGAGAAGGCUUCAGUGUAAGCCCAGGGGGUGUGGUGAUCUGAAAUAUGGAGAGACACAGAGAUCCCCUUUGUGAGGACAUCACGAAGGGGAGCAGCAUUGUGUGGGCAUGACAUGGAAAUGCUACAAGUUCUGAUAUCCUCGUAGCUCCUGAAGACCAUUGCAAGUACACCGAUUUUGUUAUCUCUAUCAAGAAAAGUAGAUAAUAAUUUUUAAAAAGAUAAGGCAAAUCCUCAUUUUAUUAGACAGAUGAAGAGUGCUUUGUAUUUAUG